rnacentral:rRNA from 1 species
GACGAACGCUGGCGGCGUGCCUAAUACAUGCAAGUCGAGCGAAGCGGCGGAUGGGUGAGUAACGCGUGGGUAAUCUGCACUUAAGUCCGGGAUACCAUUCGGAAACAGAUGCUGAUACCGGAUACUAAAGGUUGGACUUGCGAUGCAUUAGCUAGUUGGUAAGGUAACGGCUUACCAAGGCGAUGAUGCAGAGCCGGGUUGAGGGGCUGUACGGACACACUGGGACUGAGACACGGCCCAAACGCCUAGGGGAGGCAGCAGUGGGGAAUCUUCGACAAUGGCGGAAAGUCUGAUGGAGCAACGCCGCGUGAGUGAGGAAGGUUUUCGGAUGGUAAAGCUCUGUUGUUAGUGAAGCGGUAAUCAACCAGAAAGUCACGGCUAACUACGUGCCAGCAGCCGCGGUAAUAC